UUCUUGCGUACAAAAAUGCAUGUAAUCACCACCAGCAUGCCAGGGGUAGAAUGAAUGAUAACGGAUCAUGGCAAGUGCUUCCUUAGAAGAAAAUUCGAUUAGUAACUAAUUCGUACUUAUAACGAGAAUCCUGGCCAUCAGGAUUUGUUUCAAAACUGGACUCCCUGUAGACUAUGGAAUCAGCCCAUGCACAGCCAACAGGAAAUGUAUCACCCACGACAGCCCAUUGUGGUUCACCAUAGAACGCCAUAAUCUACAAUAUUUGUGUAUUAAAAUAAAUUCGGCCGUUUGAAAGGCGUGAACGAUAUUCGGUAAUAAAGUAUCUGGAUCGCUCUCGUCUAUAAGAUCGUUUAAUUUGAUCAGAGCUUCUUUAAUCGUCAUUCUGGUUUUGUUGAAUUGAAGCCAUUCUUUCAUACGAGCUGAUACUUCAAGAUUAUGAAAAUCUUCCAAUCCGAUAACCCCAUAUUACAUACAAAAAGAUAUAUAUCGUAAUACUUGUUGUUAUUUUAUUGUAAAAACAUGUGAUUAUAACGAACGAAGCCUCUGACGGAAUGGAAAUGUUUUGGAAAGAGAGUUCAUAAAAACCAAAUAUAAAAAUAAAUUAGAGUAUAAAGUAUUGACCUAUGCACUGUAAUGACUAAUCACUUUAUCAUAAGUAAAUUAUAUUUCUUCGUGUGUGUGUGUGUGUGUACAUGCUCCACUAGAAAAUAAACAGUAUGACAAUAACAUCA